GGUCUUGACUAUUCAAAAACUGUCUCUAAAUCUUAGGAACUAUGCUUUCAAGGGCUAAACUAAUAGAACUGAGCAGGAAAUAAGCCUGAUUAGCAUUUUGUAAGUAAUUUUGAGCACAAAAGCUAUAUUUACAAUAAUAGCCAAGACUUGUCAUCUACAAUUGAACUCAACGCUGGCAAAAAGAAAAACAUAAAUUGAAUCCAUUAAAAUGACAUCAAAUAAAUUAUGAUGUUCAUUUUCCUGUGCACUGCUUAUCACUUUUUAAUUUUUUAGAAGUUUGGUGGGUUAUCUCCAGAUCCUAAUAA
rnacentral:lncRNA from 1 species